CUAAAGUAGUAAUAGUUAUGUUCUUGAAACUUAAAAAAUUUGGCGGUAUUUUAGUCUAUUCAGAGGAACCUGUCCUAUAAUCGAUAAUCCACGUUGGACCUUACUUAAAUUGGUUAAUCAGUUUGUAUACCGUCGUUAUAAGAAUAUUUUAUUAGAAUAAUAAUUUUCUAUAAUUUUUAUAAAAAUUUAUAUCAGAUCAAGGUGCAGCUUAUGUUUAAGUAGAGAUGGGUUACAAUAAAAUAAUUUAUAUGAAUAAAUAUUUGAAAUAGUAUUUUGAAGGUGGAUUUGAAUGUAAAAUUAUAAAGAUUAAUAAUUUGAUUUUAGCU
rnacentral:rRNA from 1 species